rnacentral:lncRNA from 1 species
CGGCUCUGGGCUGAGGGCCUGGCAAGUGCACAGAGUUACGUCUUAGGAUGGUUUUACAGAGAGGUUUGCACGGCUUUUGGUCCAGGGCCUGGCAAGCGUUCAGUGCUCCCGGCCGUCGUGCCUUUUGCUUUCAGUCUCUGGCCACUCUCUCUCUCAGCCUCGGUCACUGUGGCUCUCUUCUCUCCAUGGUCUCCCUCCUGUGAGUGUCACCUCGGGUGCAUUUCUGGCUCCUCUGAUCUUUGCCCUCUCCUCUCACCCUCCUUUGGUCCUCUCCCAAACGCCCGUUUUCCACUUGAACUUCUCUCCUGAGUCACGCCAUCCUCCUCUGUUCCCUGUUGAGGGGUGUUAACAGCCUGAAAUAACCACCCUACCAGCUCAAGUCCCCAAGCAAGAAGCCCAGCCGUGGCUUUCCUUGCCUUUCACUCACCAUGUGGUGUGAAUUUCCCCAUAAUGUCUCUGGGAGAACGUUCUGCUCCUGCCUGGCCGUUGUCAGUCUCACUUUCUACUGCCUUAGUAGAAGGAGCUCUUGACUGGCUCCUGCACUGAUCUCCCCACCAUCCUUCUGUCCCUCCUGCUGUCACCCAAGUGACCUUUCUAAACCAAGGCCUGCUUGUGCCUGUGCCUUUGAUGAAAGCAUCUGAAGGCUCCUGAUGCCCACUGAAUUGCGUGCAGGUCUUCCUCAGAAUCCAGGACGUCCACCACCUGCCCAAGACCAAUCUCCAUGUUGCAGAGCUGUGGAGGGGAUCCUGCUCUGGAACAAGAGUCUCUCCUGCACCCACCCAGUCUGAGCACCAGCCAAGAUCUUUCCCUUCUUAUUCUCACCUUCCUACAGUUUGCAGAAGGACGCUUGAAAAUGCCGAGUGCCGAUGGAGACCUGGGAAGAGGGGGUUUGCAUGCACAGCUGGGGGAGGCCGAGCCGGCACAUCAACUCUCCAGGUCGUUUUGUAGCCUCUCCUCUAAGUUGCUGUUACCAUUUGACCCCGCACAAAUAUGAGAAAUGUAUCUAUCAUUUGAAAAUACAUAUUUUAGCUGGAUUACAUGAUGUGCUUAUUUUAAUACUAAUUAAACAAUAUAAAUAAUGCAUCAAGUACAAUGGAAGCUGUUACACUGGAAAUGUUGAGAGGGGAGCGGAGAAAAGUCUGAGAAUGGCGGGUUUGCAGGAGGCCCACUGGAUAGCACACACAUUUUUGAGAAAGAAGACGGGGGACUUGGGAAGGAAGAUUUCUGCAGGGGGACGUGGAAAACCCGAGGCUAUCACAUAAUGGGAGAAUGAAAGAGAGGCAACUAAAGAUCUGGCUGAAGCCCCCAGUCUCUGUCAGAAAGGAGCAUUGGGAAGACGUGGCCACCCAGCAAUGGAG